GAUGAACGCUGGCGGCGUGCCUAAUACAUGCAAGUCGAGCGAACAGAUGAGGAGCUUGCUCCUCUGACGUUAGCGGCGGACGGGUGAGUAACACGUGGAUAACCUACCUAUAAGACUGGGAUAACUUCGGGAAACCGGAGCUAAUACCGGAUAAUAUAUUGAACCGCAUGGUUCAAUAGUGAAAGACGGUUUUGCUGUCACUUAUGGAUGGAUCCGCGCCGCAUUAGCUAGUUGGUAAGGUAACGGCUUACCAAGGCAACGAUGCGUAGCCGACCUGAGAGGGUGAUCGGCCACACUGGAACUGAGACACGGUCCAGACUCCUACGGGAGGCAGCAGUAGGGAAUCUUCCGCAAUGGGCGAAAGCCUGACGGAGCAACGCCGCGUGAGUGAUGAAGGUCUUCGGAUCGUAAAACUCUGUUAUUAGGGAAGAACAAAUGUGUAAGUAACUAUGCACGUCUUGGCGGUACCUAAUCAGAAAGCCACGGCUAACUACGUG
rnacentral:rRNA from 1 species